AGAGGAAGCCCAGAUCAGAAGGGGCAGCAGGGUGAGAGGGAAGAACUGUGCGGUCACUCCCUGGGAUUCGAGUGGGGAGAGACUGGAGAGUCAAGAAGGAAGCUCAGAGGGGAAGAGUUGGCCCUGGGAUCCCCUCCUGCUAGGAGGCUGAGAGCAGGCACAGGGGUGUAGCAGGCUCUGGUGAUGAGCCCUGAUAAAGGGGCAGGAGAUCUGGACUUCCAGGGGUCGAGCCCAGGGAGGCAUUCCGCUGAGGAACUGAGCAAGGGAAACUUAGGAGGAUGGAAGGUCAAGCCCAAGGGUGGAAUUAAAACGUGACCUGGCUGGAGGGCAAAGCUGCAAGAAGACAGACCCUGCAGGACCGAAGCGACUCUCGGCAGAGGCGCUAGAGGGAAAAGCACGGCUAUGCCAUGCUCAGCCACAAGGGGGCACUCCAGUGGCCAGCUGGACACAAUAUCUGUCUUGCCACCGAUGGAGCAGAAUCUUGCCUGGUGUGGCGGCAAACAGACAUGCUGCACAACCCUGGCGCAUGGAGACGACUCUAUUCUUGCACGCCCUGGGUUUGCAGCCCCUGAACUACCGCUGUUGAAAAUGUGCUGGAGGCCAGGGGCUCCCCAAAGAUCUAAAUCUUUCUCCGGAAACUAUUUGGAAAGAGCUCCCCCAUGAAAGCCAUCCCAGCGCCUUUGAACGGCACCGCCUGGGGCGUCCAUUUCCCAGCCUGCAUCAAUUGUUUGAGGAAUUGCCUUAUAGAAAACAGCCCGUGGGGAAUCUAGGGCAAUAUGUUUGUGUUUCAUUUUUCUUCCCACCCCAUGUCUGGAAUUUGUACUGAAAUGUGUUGGAGGGAAUAAAUCAGAGCCACAUACUGAAAGAGGAACUCGGGCUGCCUUUUCCAGCCGCAAGCCAGGAGCGUUCUCUUUCACACGGAUUUGGCUGCCGACGGUGACAAGCAGAACACAAGAGGGAACCGCACCAGUGGGGAAGGUCUUCUGGGGCCAGCUCCUGGGCGGGUGGAAAUUGGCUUUGUAGCCAUCAGUGGAAUGUUGUUGAUUUUCACCAGCCGAGGACCUGGCUCGUGGUCAGAAGCAAAAGUCUAAAGACCAGCGUGAGGGAGGCUGCAAAGGGGGCAGCAACCAGGCCUGCCCAUUCCUGGGAAAGGCUGGUGUGUGGAAGAGUCAGGCCUGGAACGUUCUGGGUGCUGAAUCUCGAUGACUCCUCAGUCCCUGCACUGUUACCAGUGCGGGCAGGCAAAGCUUUCCCAGGUUAUGCAGGGCUCUCGGUGGGGCCCACCCUGAAGCUACAAUGCCAGCCCAUUUAACCCACUCAGUGCCAUUUCAUCAAGCUCUGCAGGGCCCAUUUUACCCCAUCAGUGCCCCAGGGGAAAGGAGUUGCUAGGAAACUGCUUUCCUCACACCUGGUUCAACUCACCUGCAGGCUCUGACUCUCAGCAGGUGAAAAUGGGGUAAAGGGGCUCAGGGGAGGAAGAGGACUUGGUCUCAGCAGAGGUGGAAGCCAUGAAAGUUGGGGCUGGGGAUACACAGAGGAAGCCCUGGGGCUGAAGUUCCUGUCCUGGUUUCAUUCUAGGGAAUGUUUUCCCUUCCUAAUGGGAUCCAGCCUUCUGGGGUUUCCUCUCCACACCAUGGUCUCUUUCCCCAGCAGACGGGUCACCAGGGCGCAGAGUUUUAACUGGCCCGUGCUUGCUUUCUUGAUGUUGGGCCUGAUCCUGCACCAUUGGGGGCAAAUGGGGAUUUGAGUCGUGGGCUUCAGUGAUGGCAGGAUCGGGCCCAAUAUUCUUUGCUUAUCUGGAUCUCAUAUAGGUUGAAUGGGAUGGACCCUGGCUCCUGUAUAAACUGUAUGGGAUGGAUCCUGUACAGACUGAAUGGGACAGACCAUUGAGCCUGUAUAGAUUGUGUGGGACAAUCCGGUAUCCUGUAUGGGGUGGAUCCUAUAUGGAUUGAAUGGGAGAGACCCUGGAUCCUGUAUAGACUGUGUGGGACGGAUCCUGUACACAGGGUCUGGUCUGGUGCCUGGUUCCUUCCUUGCGGACUAUCCCUAUUCAGUCCCAGUGGUUUGUUUUUUAGCUCGGCUCACACAGGACUCAGCCAAGGUGGGGGGUGCUGCAGGGUGGCCGCUGGCGCUAGGGUUAGCCGCAGAACGGUCUGGCUGAGCAGCUGGGAGCGAAGGGGCUGGAGAGAAAGUUCCUUUCAAAUAUCUACUGGAAAGUGAUUGACCCCAGCCCGCUGGAUGCCUUUAACUCCGAACCAUCUAAGCAGAAAGUUUACCUUGAAAUACUGCACGAGAUUCAUUUAACUGACCCAUUGUAGCCUCUUUCUGUCUUUUCUUGCCCCUUUUCCUUUCCCUUCUUUUCCUCUCCCAUCGCUUCUCUCCUCCUUUCCUGGCUUGUCAGCCGGCUGGUUUGUUCGUUCCGUUCUCAGCACCCUACCCAAAUUCCCAUUUCUUUCCUCUACCUAAUUUAACAAAUCAAGGACACCCGAGAGUUUCUGGAGAACUCGAAUGGCCUUCCAGGGUCCGAAUUUACACCAGAUCUAGAGUCAGGAUCUUGCACCUAAACCUGAAAAGGGAAGGUCAGCUCCUUUUUUUAACUUGAUGUCUUGAAUCAAUUUUCAAAACUCAAUCGAUCGGAAUUCGUGCACAUAACUCUGAUAGGAACCCAGCGCCUUCCCUUUUUCUCCUUCCUCUUCAACGGUUUCUAAUUCGAAUCGGCUCCUUCUCUCCCCGCACUAGGAAGUGGGUUUAUUUAGGGAUUUUUCCCCUUAAUUAAACCAAUUUGGGGUUUAUCCCAACAGCCGAAUCUGAGUCGGUUUGUUUUGAUUAAUUCCCACCACGGGAAAUGUUUUUUCUGGAGGUAGACAACAAGACACUUCAGAGAUCUUUCUCUCCUUUCUCCACAGCUAUGUUUAUCUAGCUAUUUCAAAUAAAUAGCUACAGAUAUAGCAAUGGAAUUAGAUUCCUGGGAUGGCUAAAAAUAAAGGUAACGGCUUUUCUCCAUUUUAUUUCCCAAUGUAGCGUCAGAGGCAAACAUUCAUGAGACAAAAUUUAGAAAUGCCCUUAGCUGAGAUUCUAUUUUUGAAUUCAGAACAAAGGGAUGACCCCGAGCUGUUAUGUAAAGAGAUGGGAGAUUGUUCUGUGGAGCAGGGAAAGAUGCUUGGGCUGAACUAAUCCCCAAAAUUAGGGUCAUACGGUGAUGCUUUUCCCCACAAAAUCUGAUCAAGAAAAUGAUCCUGCCGUUUUUCUUCAGCUGCUUCUCUUUAACACGCAUCCCAUCGCCAUGGGAUCUGCUGGUUUAUACACAGCAACACACCCUCAAUCAAUCAAUCAAUCAGCUGAAAGAAAAAGGAAGGAGGAAGGGUAAUAAAAAAAUCACAGAUGAGAGAAGUGGCUAGAUCGUGCUAGAGAUUUCUCCGUGUGUGUCCGAUGGGAUAUCUGACCCAGAAAAGACAGACGGGUUGUGAAGCUGGCAGGGUUAGCCGCUGGGGAACAACGGCACAAUUCUUGGGUUAAAGUGGAAAAUUCGGAGACCAUUAUUCAAGGGAUGGGGGCAAGAAAGAAAUCCUUCCGCCGUGAUGGGGGGGGUGGAUGUGAUCAGCUGCACGGCCCUGUAUAGGUAGCCAUCACCGCGGUAUCUGGGCGCAUGAGAGACCUCGACCUGCCCACAUCAGCCUGUGGACUAAUCAGACAUCAAAUCUAGUCAAUUUCACCUAGUCAAUUUCUCUUGACUACUGAAUUCCUUCCUGGCCAAUUUCCUUCCUUGGCCAAAGCAAAAAUCAGAGAGGGUUUUUUGUUGUUGUACGUCCCACCCAAUCUCAUGAGGCGCUGGGAAAAUAAACGGAACAGAAAAGUCAUCAGGGGCUGAAUGAUUUCUGCCCAGGACUCUUAUGGGCGCUGGAGCUUUGUGUCUGUCCUUGCUAAAUCCCAGGCACAGCUGUAAUUCCCCGACUUGCUUUUGUACCAAAGACAAGCAGGGAAGCCACCCCGCAUGAGAGAGAUCAGCUCUGGGGAAGACGGGGAGAGAAGAAAGCAGGAGAGUCUCAAACUUUCUCAAUCUCCCUCUCUUUCACUCCCUCACUUUAAAUCGCUCACUUGUCCCUCCGCACUGGAGGGCCCGUUUCUGCCCCCCGCCCCCUCCUCGGCGGCGAACCCCAGCGAGCCUGGGCAGAAGAUUCGCCUCUACCAGAAACUUCCCCCGUUUUAAUGGGGGAGCUGAGAACAUGAGUUGGGGCUCAGCGCUGCGGCCGCUGGGUAAA